CCCGACCUGGCCCAUCGUCCGUCACACCCUUAUCACCCUAACCCUUCACUUUUUCUCCAUCAUUGAAAUGUAACCAGACAUCAACAAAAAAAUAUAUGGGUUCCCUCCUUUUCCUUUCUGUAAGCAGCAUAUUCUACUAGACCACCGGAUAAUGGAAAAUCCGAUGGUCUUCAGCCUUAUCCUCCACUUUUCCAUUAGUCCUGCAAUUAAUCCUUCAACUUUAUAUCAUUUCAAUAGCAUUUACCCUAAAGAGAUUUCCACUGCCCUGCGACCCCUGCUGCAAAGUUGAAAAGUUGAAGGUCCAUUGGGUUUGAGAUUGUUAACCUCCUGAUUUUAUGAGUCUGAAAGAGGGAGCUUCCAAAUUUCCCUUUUCCCCUUUUUACAUCAGCCAGCAAAGAUGGGGAAGAUGAGUCCUUUUCCUGCCUCCAAUUUUACUCUGUAAUUUGGGGUCUUUUUGAGAAUCUAAAUUUGAAUUCUUAAGGCCUCACUUGAGGACCGUUGCAAACUCCUCCUCAAAUUUGGCUAUAAAAGAGACUUUGGGCUCUCAUUUUUGGGGAGCAAGAAAAGCAAGCAAAAAAACAAGAAUAACCAAGUAAGGAAAUCAGAAGAAGAUAUUACAAUUAGUUCGUAUUACUAUUUCUAUCUCGUUUUCUCUCUCUCUUUUCGAAGUUGAAGUUUGAGUUCGAGUUCAAAUUUUCGAUGAGGAGCCCCCCUAGUUCGCUGCUCCACACAAAGGUCCCACGAUUUGACUCCAUCUGUCCAAAUCGGAGAAGCGAUAAUAGAUCAUUGCGUAUUUCAUCUAGCAGUCCAAUGUCUCUUUCCCUCUUUCAAGAUAUUAUUUAUCUUUGUAGACGCUUAUUAUAUUUUUUCUGCAUAUUAUUAUUUUGGAUCUAUGUUUUGUAUGUUUCUUAUUUGAAUUAGUAUGAAUCUUUAAAUAAUUUUAGCAAAUUUAA